rnacentral:rRNA from 1 species
AUUGAACGCUGGCGGCAGGCCUAACACAUGCAAGUCGAACGAGUGGCGGACGGGUGAGUAAUGUCUGGGAAACUGCCUGAUGGAGGGGGAUAACUACUGGAAACGGUAGCUAAUAACGCAUACCAUCGGAUGUGCCAAGAUGGGAUUAGCUAGUAGGUGGGGUAACGGCACACCUAGGCGACGAUCCCUAGCGGGGCGUAGCGGAGGACCCGCCACACUGGAACUUAGACACGGUCCAGACUCCUACGGGAGGCAGCAGUGGGGAAUAUUGCACAAUGGGCGCAAGCCUGAUGCAGCCAUGCCGCGUGUAUGAAGAAGGCCUUCGGGUUGUAAAGUACUUUCAGCGGGGAGGCGUUACCCGCAGAAGAAGCACCGGCUAACUCCGUGCCAGCAGCCGCGGUAAUAC